rnacentral:rRNA from 1 species
UACGUAGGUGACAAGCGUUGUCCGGAUUUACUGGGCGUAAAGAGCGCGCAGGCGGUCGUUCAAGUCGAGUGUGAAAGCCCCCGGCUCAACUGGGGAGGGUCACUCGAUACUGAUCGACUCGAAGGCAGGAGAGGGAAGUGGAAUUCCCGGUGUAGUGGUGAAAUGCGUAGAUAUCGGGAGGAACACCAGUGGCGAAGGCGACUUCCUGGCCUGUUCUUGACGUUGAGGCGCGAAAGCUAGGGGAGCAAACGGG